AGCAGCGUGGCUCAGUGGAAAGAGCCCGGUCUUGGGAGCCAGAGGUCAUGGGUUCAAAUCCCGCCCCUGCCA
rnacentral:tRNA from 1 species